rnacentral:rRNA from 1 species
GACGAACGCUGGCGGCGUGGAUUAGGCAUGCAAGUCGAACGGUAUCAUCCUUUCGGGGGUGAGAGAGUGGCGAACUGGUGAGUAACACGUAGGUUAUCUACCCUCAAGACGGGGACAACCCAGGGAAACUUGGGCUAAUACCGGAUGUGAGCAACUUUUAGUUGUUUGAAAGGUGGCGUAAGCUGUCGCUUGGGGAUGAGCCUGCGUCCUAUUAGUUAGUUGGUGAGGUAACGGCUCACCUAGGCAAUGAUAGGUAGGCGGCCUUAACGGGUGGUCGCCCACACUGGGAUUGAGAUACGGCCCAGACUCCUACGGGAGGCAGCAGUCGAGAAUAGUCCACAAUGGUCGGAAGACUGAUAGUGCGACGCCGCGUGAACGAUGAAUCCCUUCGGGGUGUAAAGUUCUUUUAUAUGUGAGCAGUGCUUCUUAUAUUAACAGUAUGGGGAGAGAGAUAUUAGCAUAUGAAUAAGCAACGGCUAACUCCGUGCCAGCAGCCGCGGU